rnacentral:rRNA from 1 species
CCUACGGGGGGCAGCAGUGAGGAAUAUUGGUCAAUGGGCGCGAGCCUGAACCAGCCAAGUCGCGUGAGGGAUGAAGGUUCUAUGGAUCGUAAACCUCUUUUAUAAGGGAAUAAAGUGUGGGACGUGUCCUAUUUUGUAUGUACCUUAUGAAUAAGGAUCGGCUAACUCCGUGCCAGCAGCCGCGGUAAUACGGAGGAUCCGAGCGUUAUCCGGAUUUCUGGGGUUUAAAGGGUGCGUAGGCGGCCUUUUAAGUCAGCGGUGCAAGUCUGGGGCGCAACCAGAGAAUUGCCGUUGAAACUGGGGGGCGUGAGUAUGUUUGAGGCAGGCGGAAUGCGUGGUGGAGCGGUGAAAGGCUUAG